UCCGCCUCUAGGUCCCCCAUCUCCAUCCCCAUUUCCUCCAACAUAUCCACCUCCAGGCCCUCCACCAUAUCUGUCUCUGCUUCCAGGUCCUCCACCAUAUCCAUCACCAGGUCCUACGCCAUAUCCGCCACCAGGUCCUCCGCCAUAUCCGCCUCCAGGUCCUCCACCAAAUCCACCUCCAGGUCCUCCACAAAAUCCUACACUAGGUCCACCAAAGCCACCACCAGGUCCUCCGCCAAAGCCGCCACCAGGUCCUCCACCAUAUCCCCCACCAGGUCCUCCACCAAACCCACCACCAGGUGCUCCACCGAACCCACCUUCUCCAGGUCCUCCGCCAAAUCCACCACGAACUGCUCCACCAAACCCACCACCAGAUGCUCCACCAUCUCCACCUCCAGGUCCACCAUAUCCGAC
rnacentral:lncRNA from 1 species